CCAAACACCAUCUGGAAACAUAAGCGCAACAAAGCCAUGGUUCAUUUCGACAGACUUACCGAUGUCCAUACGUGGCGUUCUGAUUGGAAAGUCUCCGUUAAGAUCAUCAGGAAAUGGAACAAGAGAGAAGCCAACGUCUCCACUGUUGAACUGAUUGUCUCCGACGUUUUCGCCGACAAGAUGCAGGUAACAAUUAGUGAGAACCUUGUGGGCCAGUUCUGUGUACGUAGAAGGAUUGAGGACGAUGAGUGAAAACCUUCUCGAAGUUCGCGGUUGAAAACGACACAUCCGCUGUGAAGGUCAUCGACACCAACUACCGGAUCAAAUUCACUGCUUACACCAUUGUUGAAAACAUUGGUUGAUUGUCGAACAAUCACUUCAACGACUACUAGAACUUCGACAAGAUUUAUGAUGGAUGGUCUGCUUUCACCAAAAACUGUUCCUUAGAUAACGUUUAUGAUGAUGUUAUACCCUUUGAUUUAAAUCUUCUUGGUUUAAUCAUUCUAAUCACAUAACCUGCUAGAUAGGUGGGGAAAGUUACCAACGUUGAACCAAUGAUUUACGUUGAUGAUCCCGUUUCUCCACGUUUUGCCGAGAAAUCCCGGAUAAAACGCUUUUCUUUGAGGAAUCUAGAGUUAGCCAUUAUUCCGAUUAUUAAAUUUAUUUAAUUAUUAUUAAUCACGGGCUAAUACAAUAUAUGUCUUCGUAUGUAGGGGUUAUCACUUGCAAUGUGUAGCUUAUAAUUAAGCCGCUUUACCCAUAAAUUUUGGGUAGUCAUAGCAGGCAAAACAAUUGUUGCGGUGUUGCGUUUUUGCAGGGCGAAGUUUAAGAAUGGAGGCAAAGGAGGAAUGAAGAAGCUCAGCCAAGUAGGUGUUUCAAAAGUGUAGUUUGAUCCGUUGUUUCUAGAGAUACAAGAUUUCAAACUGAGUUUGGACUACUUCAAUCAGCGUGAGAGAAUAGAAGAAGAUGAGUAGUUUAUGUGUUUGCAUUUCCCAGUGUUGUGUUUAUUUCUAAUAUUUAAACUACGUUGAACAACCUAUUGUGUAUUUCUUCCUUCCCUCGGUCUCAAUUCUCUUUGUA